rnacentral:rRNA from 1 species
GACGGAAGGUGCAAGCGUUGCUCGGAAUCACUGGGCGUAAAGGGUGCGUAGGCGGCCGUGCAAGUCUGACGUGAAAGCCCCGGGCUCAGCCCGGGAAGUGCGCUCGAAACUGCGCGGCUCGAGUGCCGGAGGGGAGAGUGGAAUUCCUGGUGUAGCGGUGAAAUGCGUAGAUAUCAGGAGGAAUACCGGUGGCGAAAGCGACUCUCUGGACGGCAACUGACGCUGAGGCACGAAAGCGUGGGGAGCAAACAGG